UACGGAGGAUCCAAGCGUUAUCCGGAUUCAUUGGGUUUGAAGGGUGCGUAGGCGGAAUGAUAAGUCAGUGGUGAAAUCCUGCAGCUUAACUGCAGAACUGCCAUUGAUACUGUCAAUCUUGAGUAUAUUUGAUGUGGGCGGAAUGUGUCAUGUAGCGGUGAAAUGCUUAGAUAUGACACAGAACACCGAUUGCGAAGGCAGCUCACAAAACUAUAACUGACGCUGAGGCACGAAAGCGUGGGUAUCAAACAGG
rnacentral:rRNA from 1 species